rnacentral:rRNA from 1 species
UACGGUGCUGAAGCAACAAAUGCCCUGCUUCCAGGAAAAGCCUCUAAGCAUCAGGUAACAUCAAAUCGUACCCCAAACCGACACAGGUGGUCAGGUAGAGAAUACCAAGGCGCUUGAGAGAACUCGGGUGAAGGAACUAGGCAAAAUGGUGCCGUAACUUCGGGAGAAGGCACGCUGAUAUGUAGGUGAAGUCCCUCGCGGAUGGAGCUGAAAUCAGUCGAAGAUACCAGCUGGCUGCAACUGUUUAUUAAAAACACAGCACUGUGCAAACACGAAAGUGGACGUAUACGGUGUGACGCCUGCCCGGUGCCGGAAGGUUAAUUGAUGGGGUUAGCGCAAGCGAAGCUCUUGAUCGAAGCCCCGGUAAACGGCGGCCGUAACUAUAACGGUCCUAAGGUAGCGAAAUUCCUUGUCGGGUAAGUUCCGACCUGCACGAAUGGCGUAAUGAUGGCCAGGCUGUCUCCACCCGAGACUCAGUGAAAUUGAACUCGCUGUGAAGAUGCAGUGUACCCGCGGCAAGACGGAAAGACCCCGUGAACCUUUACUAUAGCUUGACACUGAACAUUGAGCCUUGAUGUGUAGGAUAGGUGGGAGGCUUUGAAGUGUGGACGCCAGUCUGCAUGGAGCCGACCUUGAAAUACCACCCUUUAAUGUUUGAUGUUCUAACGUUGACCCGUAAUCCGGGUUGCGGACAGUGUCUGGUGGGUAGUUUGACUGGGGCGGGUCUCCUCCUAAAGAGUAACGGAGGAGCACGAAGGUUGGCUAAUCCUGGUCGGACAUCAGGAGGUUAGUGCAAUGGCAUAAGCCAGCUUGACUGCGAGCGUGACGGCGCGAGCAGGUGCGAAAGCAGGUCAUAGUGAUCCGGUGGUUCUGAAUGGAAGGGCCAUCGCUCAACGGAUAAAAGGUACUCCGGGGAUAACAGGCUGAUACCGCCCAAGAGUUCAUAUCGACGGCGGUGUUUGGCACCUCGAUGUCGGCUCAUCACAUCCUGGGGCUGAAGUAGGUCCCAAGGGUAUGGCUGUUCGCCAUUUAAAGUGGUACGCGAGCUGGGUUUAGAACGUCGUGAGACAGUUCGGUCCCUAUCUGCCGUGGGCGCUGGAGAACUGAGGGGGGCUGCUCCUAGUACGAGAGGACCGGAGUGGACGCAUCACUGGUGUUCGGGUUGUCAUGCCAAUGGCACUGCCCGGUAGCUAAAUGCGGAAGAGAUAAGUGCUGAAAGCAUCUAAGCACGAAACUUGCCCCGAGAUGAGUUCUCCCUGACUCCUUGAGAGUCCUGAAGGAACGUUGAAGACGACGACGUUGAUAGGCCGGGUGUGUAAGCGCAGCGAUGCGUUGAGCUAACCGGUACUAAUGAACCGUGAGGCUUAACCUU